GGAGGGGGAUAACUACUGGAAACGGUAGCUAAUACCGCAUAACGUCGCAAGACCAAAGAGGGGGACCUUCGGGCCUCUUGCCAUCAGAUGUGCCCAGAUGGGAUUAGCUAGUAGGUGGGGUAACGGCUCACAUAGGCGACGAUCCCUAGCUGGUCUGAGAGGAUGACCAGCCACACUGGAACUGAGACACGGUCCAGACUCUACGGGAGGCAGCAGUGGGGAAUAUUGCACAAUGGGCGCAAGCGUGAUGCAGCCAUGCCGCGUGUAUGAAGAAGGCCUUCGGGUUGUAAAGUACUUUCAGCGGGGAGGAAGGUGUUGAGGUUAAUAACCUCAGCAAUUGACGUUACCCGCAGAAGAAGCACCGGCUAACUCCGUGCCAGCAGCCGCGGUAAUACGGAGGGUGCAAGCGUUNAUCGGAAUUACUGGGCGUAAAGCGCACGCAGGCGGUCUGUCAAGUCGGAUGUGAAAUCCCCGGGCUCAACCUGGGAACUGCAUUCGAAACUGGCAGGCUAGAGUCUNGUAGAGGGGGGUAGAAUUCCAGGUGUAGCGGUGAAAUGCGUAGAGAUCUGGAGGAAUACCGGUGGCGAAGGCGGCCCCCUGGACAAAGACUGACGCUCAGGUGCGAAAGCGUGGGGAGCAAACAGGAUUAGAUACCCUGGUAGUCCACGCCGUAAACGAUGUCGACUUGGAGGUUGUGCCCUUGAGGCGUGGCUUCCGGAGCUAACGCGUUAAGUCGACCGCCUGGGGAGUACGGCCGCAAGGUUAAAACUCAAAUGAAUUGACGGGGGCCCGCACAAGCGGUGGAGCAUGUGGUUUAAUUCGAUGCAACGCGAAGAACCUUACCUACUCUUGACAUCCAGANAACUUNNCAGAGAUGGAUUGGUGCCUUCGGGAACUCUG
rnacentral:rRNA from 1 species